rnacentral:rRNA from 1 species
UACGUAGGGUGCGAGCGUUAAUCGGAAUUACUGGGCGUAAAGCGUGCGCAGGCGGUUUUGUAAGCCAGAUGUGAAAGCCCCGGGCUUAACCUGGGAAUGGCAUUUGGGACUGCAAGGCUUGAGUGCGGCAGAGGAGACUGGAAUUCCUGGUGUAGCAGUGAAAUGCGUAGAUAUCAGGAGGAAUACCGAUGGCGAAGGCAGGUCUCUGGGCUGACACUGGCGCUCAUGCACGAAAGCGUGGGGAGCAAACGAGG